AAGGAAUUAGGUGUGUACUACUGUCACUACUCCCAGCCCACUUUUCUUUCUUCCUUUCCUUUGUUAUAGAGGGUUAAAAGCUCAACAAAGAAAUAUGGAGAAAAUAGGAAAGGAAGUGAGAGAAAGAAAGAUAACUCAGAGAAACCAUGGUCACUGAUUUUUCUCCCCUUCAACAAUUGUCAUUCAUCCUCGAUGAUUCCCUUUCAAGCUGAAUCGGAAACACCUUAUUCUCCUCUGGCAAUGCUGCUCACCGCAAUCGCUCUUCCACGUCGUGCGUCUUCGAUGCCCCGCCAGUGCAUCGCUACCGAUUUGUCGCAAUCACUGAUGCCACUCUGUCUCAUUCUCAACAGAGAGAUGGUGGCUUCAUUCGGGACCUCCAUUGAUGAAAUUUAAGAUGGCUUCAACAUAGACGACGCUAGGUCAACCUUCGUUUGGGAUUUCUGUUAAUAACCCAUCAAGUGACAUUGCAUGUUUGAAGGAUCCACAAUGCAAGAUAAUCCCUAUAAAAUUGUAUACUUAAUGAAGUAUAUGAAUAGAUAUUAAUACUAAAGAUUUUUGUUCAGUUUUUGUAUAAAUGGUAUUUUUUUGCAGUGAAUAUUUUUGCUUUUUUUAUGUUAUUUAGGAUGUUAUUAAUCAGAGUGCCAAAUAUUCACAUAGCCCAAGUGUUAAAUAUAGUAGUGACUUGUUUCCGAGAGAUGAGCAACAACUUGCUAUUCUAAAAGAUUCGAAUUAUAAUUUUGAAGAGCAUAUGGACGAGUGUCGUGCUUGAUGUUUAGUUUUUAG